CGACCGGGGUAUGUCAUGAUGAUUGGGAUGGCCGCAAACGGUGUCGCUCGCUGGCGGGUUACGCACCUGCAGCCGGGUAGGGUAAACCGCAAACAGGUAGGCUAUGUAACCAGCAACGAAGUGCGCCACAUCUCAACCACCGCCGCGCCUCAAUCGCCUUUUAAGAUAUCUAUUCCAUUCCAGAAAAACGCAGUGGUCUCAACGAACAACCACCUGCCUAGUAAGGUAAAAACGUGGAUUUGCGCAUGAAAGUGCUCUCGGCCGGGUUCCUGUCUGUGCUCAAGUUCGUUCGGAUGUCGAUCCCCCCUGCUAUCCCAAUUGCGUCCCUGGCUGCAAUCUCCUCCUUGCUCCUUGCCUCCGUUGUUCAAAGAUUUGUUUAGUUCCUAUCAAUUAGCUUUCCAUCUUGAACUACCUGAUCGACUGCGUUUCUGUAUGUCCUCAAGCCCCACAGCAGCCUACUGAACAGCACACAACGACUUUUCAAGCGAGCGAUGGCAGCACUUACUUGCACUUGGGAUAGUCAACCUUCUGGGCCGCGCAAGCAAGAGAGGU
rnacentral:lncRNA from 1 species